UUUGGCCACUGGGGAAAUCAGCGUGGAAAAACGAGUCGGGGGUAUGAAAUUUACCUCGAUCGGCGGUCGGAAAUCCCUCCGGUGUGGCGGCGGGUGGCGGCGGCCAGCUUCUGGUUCGUCUUCUCCGGCGAGGGCAGGCGGCUAGGGUUUGGGGUAUGGUGUGGGGGUCUUAUUUAUACCCUUUUGCCUUUUGAUCUCAGCUGUCCAUUUUGUUUUAAUCUGGGCCGUCCGUGCGAUUAAAUCUGGGCCGUCCG
rnacentral:lncRNA from 1 species